rnacentral:rRNA from 1 species
GACGAACGCUGGCGGCGUGCUUAACACAUGCAAGUCGAACGGAAAGGCCCUGCUUUUGUGGGGUGCUCGAGUGGCGAACGGGUGAGUAACACGUGAGUAACCUGCCCUUGACUUUGGGAUAACUUCAGGAAACUGGGGCUAAUACCGGAUAGGAGCUCCUGCUGCAUGGUGGGGGUUGGAAAGUUUCGGCGGUUGGGGAUGGACUCGCGGCUUAUCAGCUUGUUGGUGGGGUAGUGGCUUACCAAGGCUUUGACGGGUAGCCGGCCUGAGAGGGUGACCGGCAACAUUGGGACUGAGAUACGGCCCAGACUCCUACGGGAGGCAGCAGUGGGAAUAUUGCACAAUGGGCGGAAGCCUGAUGCAGCAACGCCGCGUGCGGGAUGACGGCCUUCGGGUUGUAAACCGCUUUCGCCUGUGACGAAGCGUGAGUGACGGUAAUGGGUAAAGAAGCACCGGCUAACUACGUG